UGGGGAAUCUUGGACAAUGGGCGCAAGCCUGAUCCAGCCAUGCCGCGUGGAUGAUGAAGGCCUUAGGGUUGUAAAAUCCUUUCGCCGAGGACGAUAAUGACGGUACUCGGAGAAGAAGCUCCGGCUAACUUCGUGCCAGCAGCCGCGGUAAUACGAAGGGGGCUAGCGUUGUUCGGAUUUACUGGGCGUAAAGCGCGUGUAGGCGGGUCGUUAAGUUGGGGGUGAAAUCCCGAGGCUCAACCUCGGAACUGCCUUCAAAACUGGCGACCUGGACCUAAGUAGAGGCAAGUGGAAUUGCGAGUGUAGAGGUGAAAUUCGUAGAUAUUAGGAAGAACACCGGUGGCGAAGGCGGCCCACUGGCUCGGUACUGACACUGAGGUGCGAAAGCGUGGGGAGCAAACAGGAUUAGAUACCCGAGUAGUCCCUGAGCGGGCUGGCAAGGCGCAU
rnacentral:rRNA from 1 species